rnacentral:rRNA from 1 species
AUGAACGCUGGCGGCGUGCCUAAUACAUGCAAGUCGAGCGAACAGACGAGGAGCUUGCUCCUUCGACGUUAGCGGCGGACGGGUGAGUAACACGUAGGUAACCUACCUAUAAGACUGGGAUAACUUCGGGAAACCGGAGCUAAUACCGGAUAAUAUUUCGAACCGCAUGGUUCGAUAGUGAAAGAUGGCUUUGCUAUCACUUAUAGAUGGACCUGCGCCGUAUUAGCUAGUUGGUAAGGUAACGGCUUACCAAGGCAACGAUACGUAGCCGACCUGAGAGGGUGAUCGGCCACACUGGAACUGAGACACGGUCCAGACUCCUACGGGAGGCAGCAGUAGGGAAUCUUCCGCAAUGGGCGAAAGCCUGACGGAGCAACGCCGCGUGAGUGAUGAAGGUCUUCGGAUCGUAAAACUCUGUUAUUAGGGAAGAACAAACGUGUAAGUAACUGUGCACGCCUUGACGGUACCUAAUCAGAAAGCCACGGCUAACUACGUG